rnacentral:rRNA from 1 species
AACGCGAAGAACCUUACCAAGGCUUGACAUAUACAGGAAUAUGGCAGAGAUGUCAUAGCCGCAAGGUCUGUAUACAGGUGGUGCAUGGUUGUCGUCAGCUCGUGUCGUGAGAUGUUGGGUUAAGUCCCGCAACGAGCGCAACCCUCGUUCUGUGUUGCCAGCAUUUAGUUGGGGACUCACAGGAGACUGCCGGGGUUAACUCGGAGGAAGGUGGGGAUGACGUCAAGUCAGCAUGCCCCUUACACCCUGGGCUACACACGUGCUACAUUGGGCGAGACAAUGAGAUGCAAAUCUGCAAAGACUAGCUAAUCUAUAAACUCGUUCUAAGUUCGGAUUGUAGGCUGCAACUCGCCUACAUGAAGUUGGAAUCGCUAGUAAUCGCUGGUCAGCUAUACAGUGGUGAAUUCGUUCCCGGGUCUUGUACACACCG